CCUACGGGAGGCUGCAGUGGGGAAUAUUGCACAAUGGGGGAAACCCUGAUGCAGCGACGCCGCGUGAGUGAAGAAGUAUUUCGGUAUGUAAAGCUCUAUCAGCAGGGAAGAAAAAAGACGGUACCUGACUAAGAAGCCCCGGCUAACUACGUGCCAGCAGCCGCGGUAAUACGUAGGGGGCAAGCGUUAUCCGGAUUUACUGGGUGUAAAGGGAGCGUAGACGGCGCGGCAAGUCUGAAGUGAAAGGCAGGGCUUAACCCCUGAACUGCUUUGGAAACUGCCAUGCUAGAGUGCUGGAGAGGUAAGUGGAAUUCCUAGUGUAGCGGUGAAAUGCGUAGAUAUUAGGAGGAACACCAGUGGCGAAGGCGGCUUACUGGACAGUAACUGACGUUGAGGCUCGAAAGCGUGGGGAGCAAACAGGAUUAGAUACCCGGGUAGUC
rnacentral:rRNA from 1 species